rnacentral:lncRNA from 1 species
UGACAGCCACCGACCAUCACAGUUCUUCCAGAACUCAGGAUGAAGCUUCUCACCAGCCUCCUUUUGUGCUCCCUGACCCUGGGAGUCAGCAGCAGUUGGCUUUCAUUCGUCAAGGAGGCUUACCAAGCGAUGCAAGAGAGGGCUUACAGAGUUUCUUCGGCAGUGGACAUGAGGACACCAUGGCUGACCAGGAAGCCAACAGACAUGGCCGCAGCAGCAAGGAUCCUAAUCACUACAGACCUGCUGGCCUGCCUGACAAAUACUGAACAUCCUCCUAUUACCUCAGGAGGCUGUGCUGUGGGUCUGGGGACACAACCUGAGUUUUUCAGUCUUGUACCCACAGCAUUUAUUAGACUACACAUAAUAGGUGUGCAAUAAACACAUAUGCGAACAAA